GUAGGUGGCAAGCGUUGUCCGGAAUUAUUGGGCGUAAAGCGCGCGCAGGCGGGUCCGUUUUAAGUCUGAUGUGAAAGCCCACGGGCUCAACCGUGGAGGGUCAUUGGAAACUGGGGGACUUGAGUACAGAAGAGGAAAGCGGAAUUCCAAGUGUAGCGGUGAAAUGCGUAGAGAUUUGGAGGAACACCAGUGGCGAAGGCGGCUUUCUGGUCUGUAACUGACGCUGAGGCGCGAAAGCGUGGGGAGCAAACAGGAUUAGAUACCCUGGUAGUCCACGCCGUAAACGAUGAGUGCUAAGUGUUAGGGGGUUUCCGCCCCUUAGUGCUGCAGCUAACGCAUUAAGCACUCCGCCUGGGGAGUACGGCCGCAAAGGCUG
rnacentral:rRNA from 1 species